UUUGGUACUAAUAGAGAGUGCUGCACACUAAACAAGGAUGCAGAUGAAUUUUGAUACCUCAUGAUGCGAGCUUCUGUUUAUGUAUUCUCAGUUGAACCAUUUGUUAUGUGAGAACUCUGGAUAUGAUUUGAAGGACUUGUAUAACUGUGAUCAUACGUAACUACUUCUUGGCUUCUAAUUCCUUCAAACAGGUACUUCCGUCACUACCACUUUCCUUUGUGAAAGUACAGUUGCAUGGACCGGUUAAUUGCCCAUAAAGGAUUUCGAAAUGUGGAUCUCUACGGUUGAAAGCACCAAUAUGGCGCGCCAUGCAUCUUUGUGCUCCUGGCUGUAGAAUCUACCGCUUCGCUGUUCGUGUUUAUGGGCACGUGCAGAGGUUGCACUUCCAUCUCUUCACUGCGGAGGUUGUACUUGCAGGGUCUAUGUGCUUGUCCAUCAGAUGAAAGGUCAGAUAGACUGGAGGUCCCUUUUGUCGCUGUUCUGUCAAGAACAGGAUGAGGGUCCAAUGCUAUGUUCUGCCUUCUGUACUCAAAAAGGCUUUUAGGCUCGUCCGCAUCGUCGUAUCAUUGACACAGAUUGAUCUGUUCUCCUUUGCAAGAAUUGCGCGCUCUUAUGUUGAAACAGGACCAUUGUUUAGUUGUUAUGUAAAAGAGAGUCAACGUCAUCACCUAUUAAAGCCAUUAAGUAUUUCGAGUGGUCAAUCUGAUGUUGCAUUGCU